rnacentral:rRNA from 1 species
CCCUUAGAUGUUCUGGGCCGCACGCGCGCUACACUGACGGAUUCAACGAGCUUACAACCUUGGCCGAAAGGUCUGGGUAAUCUCCAAAAUCCGUCGUGAUGGGGAUAGAUUAUUGCAAUUAUUAAUCUUCAACGAGGAAUGCCUAGUAGGCGCAAGUCAUCAGCUUGCGUUGAUUACGUCCCUGCCCUUUGUACACACCGCCCGUCGCUCCUACCGAUUGAAUGGUCCGGUGAAGCGUUUGGACUAUGGUUUUCUGAUGGUCCGCCGUUGGAUUACCGUGGGAAGUUCGUUAAACCUUAUCAUUUAGAGGAAGGAGAAGUCGUAACA